rnacentral:rRNA from 1 species
AUGGAGGCAUCCGGGAUGUUGCAGCGCCGAGGAUGGACAAACAAUUAUUUCUGCCAGCUUUGCCACCGCAACCUAGAAAGCUCGGAGCACUUGUUCUGGCAUUGCCCCAUUGCAAAGGAAACCUGGAAUUCUAUUGCAACAUGGACGGGCUGCCGCGCGCUAAGGCAGGAAGCAUGGAUCGGCAACGCAGGAUCCCUGGACAGGUUCAGAGCUAUGACUAAAGCAACGUCGCCUGCUCAUAGGAAAGCAAUCAAGUCACUGGCAAUCCUUGCCCUUUGGCACAUAUGGCAGGAGAGAAAUCACUGCACGUUUAGGGCAAAAGAAGCCAAGGUGGAGGACAUCAUCAACGCGAUCAGGAGAGGACUAAGCCUCUGGCAACAGGCCGGCAUCAAGUCGGUUCAGAGCCCCUUCGGGGAUCAGUUGGGAGAGUAG